rnacentral:rRNA from 1 species
AUUGAACGCUGGCGGAAUGCUUUACACAUGCAAGUCGAACGGCAGCACGGAGAGCUUGCUCUCUGGUGGCGAGUGGCGAACGGGUGAGUAAUAUAUCGGAACGUGUCCAAUAAUGGGGGAUAACGAGUCGAAAGAUUCGCUAAUACCGCAUACGCCCUACGGGGGAAAGCAGGGGAUCGUAAGACCUUGCGUUAAUGGAGCGGCCGAUAUCUGAUUAGCUUGUUGGUGAGGUAAAGGCUCACCAAGGCGACGAUCAGUAGCUGGUUUGAGAGAACGACCAGCCACACUGGAACUGAGACACGGUCCAGACUCCUACGGGAGGCAGCAGUGGGGAAUUUUGGACAAUGGGGGCAACCCUGAUCCAGCCAUUCCGCGUGAGUGAAGAAGGCCUUCGGGUUGUAAAGCUCUUUCGCGAGGGAAGAAAACUUAUGAUCGAAUAAAUCAUGAGGUUGACGGUACCUUGAUAAGAAGCACCGGCUAACUACGUGCCAGCAGCCGCGGUAAUACGUAGGGUGCGAGCGUUAAUCGGAAUUACUGGGCGUAAAGCGUGCGCAGGCGGUUUUGUAAGUCGGAUGUGAAAUCCCCGGGCUCAACCUGGGAACUGCGUUCGAAACUGCAAGGCUAGAGUGUGUCAGAGGGGGGUAGAAUUCCACGUGUAGCAGUGAAAUGCGUAGAGAUGUGGAGGAAUACCAAUGGCGAAGGCAGCCC